rnacentral:rRNA from 1 species
GACGAACGCUGGCGGCGUGCUUCACACAUGCAAGUCGAGCGAGAACGUACCUUCGGGUGCUAGUAAAGCGGCGAACGGGUGAGUAACACGUGGGUAACCUGCCCUGGAGACCGGGACAACCAUUCGAAAGGAUGGCUAAUACCGGAUGCACUGCACAAUCGCAUGUUUGUGCAGAAAGGUAGCUUCGGCUUCCGCUCCUGGAUGGACCCGCGGCCCAUUAGCUUGUUGGUAGGGUAAAGGCCUACCAAGGCGACGAUGGGUAGCCGGCCUGAGAGGGUGAUCGGCCACACUGGGACUGAGACACGGCCCAGACUCCUACGGGAGGCAGCAGUGGGGAAUAUUGGACAAUGGGGGCAACCCUGAUCCAGCAACGCCGCGUGGAGGAAGAAGGCCUUCGGGUCGUAAACUCCUGUCAGGUGGGACGAAACAGCCUAGGUCAAUAGCCUAGGUUUCUGACGGUACCACCAGAGGAAGCCCCGGCUAACUCCGUG